UCCAUCCUUGUAGGCUGGCUGAGGAGACAGCCAUGCACCAGGGCAUCAUGGCCCAGCUGGAAAACGGUCACAUGAAUCUUCUCCCUUGAGGCCCAGCAGCCCACCUCCAUCCCCCCUCGCCCCAUGAAGGAAUGAGUCCCAGAGUAGGCAGGGGACUCACUGCUUUCCUCCUCCCUCUGACUGCUUUCUCUCCUCCCUCCUGCUGCAGUCUCCUUCUCGCCAGUGGGUGAGUAGCCCAAGGUGGAGGGGAGGUUCUGCCUGGUCUCUGGAGCUGAGGCUGGGGCAGAGGGUACAGCUGAACUGAUCCCUGAGAGACCACUGGGGCCAGGGUUGGGGGGUUACUGGAGGCUACAGUGUGCGCCAAGGCUCAUCCUUCCUGCCCUGUGUCCCUACAGACACUAACAGCACAUCUGGAGACCCGGUGGAGAAGAAGGACGAAACACCUUUUGGGGUCUCGGUGGCUGUGGGCCUGGCCGUCUUUGCCUGCCUCUUCCUUUCUACGCUGCUCCUUGUGCUCAACAAAUGCGGACGGAGAAACAAGUUUGGGAUCAACCGCCCGGCUGUGCUGGCUCCAGAGGACGGGCUGGCCAUGUCCCUGCAUUUCAUGACAUUGGGUGGCAGCUCCCUGUCCCCCACCGAGGGCAAAGGCUCUGGGCUCCAAGGCCACAUCAUCGAGAACCCACAAUACUUCAGUGAUGCCUGUGUUCACCACAUCAAGCGCCGGGACAUCGUGCUCAAGUGGGAGCUGGGGGAGGGCGCCUUUGGGAAGGUCUUCCUUGCUGAGUGCCACAACCUCCUGCCUGAGCAGGACAAGAUGCUGG
rnacentral:sRNA from 1 species